GGACUCUGGCUUACUGGAAAAGCCUCUGCUUUGCCUGCAGAAGGCCUGUGGUUCAAUCCCUGGCAUCUCCA
rnacentral:tRNA from 1 species